UGCAGUCGCACGAGAAAGUGGAGCAAUCCAUGAGUACAGUGGCGUACGGGUGAGUAACACGUGGAUCAUCUACCUUCUAGUGGGGAAUACCUCCGGGAAACUGGAGACAAUACCGCAUAAGCUCGUAAGAGGAAAGCAGCAAUGCGCUGGAAGAGGAGUCCGCGGCUGAUUAGCUAGUUGGCGGGGUAAUGGCCCACCAAGGCGAAGAUCGGUAGCCGGCCUGAGAGGGCACACGGCCACACUGGCACUGAAAUACGGGCCAGACUCCUACGGGAGGCAGCAGUGGGGAAUCUUGCACAAUGGAGGAAACUCUGAUGCAGCGACGCCGCGUGAGCGAUGAAGCCCUUCGGGGUGUAAAGCUCUUUCGACGGGAACGAUAAUGACGGUACCCGAAGAAGAAGCUGCGGCUAACUACGUGCCAGCAGCCGCGGUAAUACGUAGGCAGCAAGCGUUGUUCGGAAUUACUGGGCGUAAAGAGUGUGUAGGCGGUGUUCUAAGUCUGUUGUGAAAUCUCCCGGCUUAACUGGGAGGGUGCGGCGGAAACUGGAAUGCUAGAGGAUGGGAGAGGUAAGCGGAAUUCCUGGUGUAGCGGUGAAAUGCGUAGAUAUCAGGAGGAACACCUGUGGUGUAGACAGCUUACUGGACCAUUUCUGACGCUGAGACACGAAAGCGUGGGUAGCAAACAGGAUUAGAUACCCUGGUAGUCCACGCCCUA
rnacentral:rRNA from 1 species